rnacentral:rRNA from 1 species
ACAAGCAGCGGAGCGUGUGGUUAAUUCGAUGCUACACGAGAACCUUACAGGGUUUGACAUGCAAGUGGUAGGAAACUGAAAGGGACGACCUUCGGGAGCUUGCACAGGUGCUGCAUGGCUGUCGUCAGCUCGUGUCGUGAGAUGCUCGGUUAAGUCCGCUAACGAGCGCAACCCUCACUGUGUGUUAUAUGUGUCACACGGGACUGCCGGUUUUAAGCCGGAGGAAGUGGGAUGACGUCAAGUCAGCAUGGCCUUUAUAUCCUGGGCUACACACACGCUACAAUGGUCGGUACAAUAGGUUGCCAAGCCGCGAGGCGGAGCCAAUCCAAAAAAGCCGGCCUCAGUUCAGAUUGUAGGCUGCAACUCGCCUGCAUGAAGAUGGAGUUGCUAGUAACCGCAGGUCAGCAAUACUGCGGUGAAUACGUUCCCGGGUCUU